rnacentral:rRNA from 1 species
UACGAAGGGUGCAAGCGUUACUCGGAAUUACUGGGCGUAAAGCGUGCGUAGGUGGUUCGUUAAGUCUGAUGUGAAAGCCCUGGGCUCAACCUGGGAAUGGCAUUGGAUACUGGCGACCUAGAGUGCGGUAGAGGGGUGUGGAAUUCCCGGUGUAGCAGUGAAAUGCGUAGAUAUCGGGAGGAACAUCUGUGGCGAAGGCGACACCCUGGACCAGCACUGACACUGAGGCACGAAAGCGUGGGGGAGCAAACAGG